UUCUUGAAACUGCAACUGAGGAGCUUUUUUCUCCGUCCUAUUACAGGAGUGGCACAAGAAGUGACAUUUACAUGUUUGCACAGACAUAGGCUUAAACCCAUAGCCUGGCAUGCCUCGACAUCCUCGUCUCCUAUACAUUUUAUCUCUGAUAGAACACUGAGGCUUAAAGUGUUUAAGGAGCUUGCCCAAGAGGACGUCCUGAGUCUGCGAUGGAGCGCGCCUGGACAAGGCUGAUGGAGCGCAGAGCCUGUGCUCUUGGUGUCUAGACUCUGCCACCAGCCAUCUGCCCCCUGGGUGGCCUCACACACAGGCCUGGACUUAUUUUUAACUCCUCGAGGGAGCCCUGCCAAGGCCUCUGGCUCAGCAAUGCAGAGAGCCUGGUCAGUGGAGGAGGCCGAGGUGGCCAGUGGGAGGAGCAUGAAGAAUCCACAUGCUGCAAAUGAACCCUCGGAUAAUUUUUUUGUUUAACUGCUGGUCUCCAAAUUAAUUAUGCAUUUACUCUGAUUUCAAAUGAAGCUUAUCAUUUAGAGAUGCUCCUUGAGGAACCCUUUGUAAAGUAAUGAGUUUUGCAAAUUGGUUUUGCUUUGGAGAAGCAAAAUCCAGCACCAUCAUUUAACUUUUUGACCUCUUGGGGUUUUGUAUUUGUACCUAUUGGGUUUUCUUAAAGAAAGGCUCACUUUUCUUUAGAAAGAAUGAAACCUUCAGUGCAAGGAUGUAAAGCCUUCAACUUUUAUGCCUCAAUUUGCCUUCUGAUGGGAAUUAUAUCUAUAUUUGCUCAACUGCAUAAGCGAUCUUUCCUGUUUGGUUUUGAAAAAUGAUGGCUGUAUACUCUUGGGAUGUGAUAAGAUUUAGGGGGCACUC